GACGUAGGGCGCGAGCGUUGUCCGGAUUUAUUGGGCGUAAAGAGCUCGUAGGCGGUUUGUCGCGUCGUCCGUGAAAACUCACAGCUUAACUGUGAGCUUGCGGUCGAUACGGGCAGGCUAGAGUUCGGUAGGGGAGACUGGAAUUCCUGGUGUAGCGGUGAAAUGCGCAGAUAUCGGGAGGAACACCGGUGGCGAAGGCGGUUCUCUGGGCAUUACCUGACGCUGAGGAGCGAAAGUGUGGGGAGCGAACAGG
rnacentral:rRNA from 1 species